CAAAGGAUAGAGUACACAACAGUGCUUAGGAAGUUUGUUGUUUUUAAUGCCAUAUGACAAUGUUUAAAACUGACUAGGAUCUAGCUAGUUCAAGUAACUUUUGGACUCUGAGUUAAGUUUAUUGUUCAAGGUGCUUUUUCCUUCAGAGUUAAGUGUUUAAGAUCAUAAUUCAUGUACAUACAUACAUUACUGCACUAUUAUUGGGGGCUGGACUUGCUGACCUCCUGAGGUCCCUUCCAACUCCUACAAUUCUGUGAUGAACCAUAAAAAAUAAUGUGUGUGUUAUUUUGGUUCUAGAAGCAUUGAAGAUUAAGUGCUUUGAAGUGCACAGGUUUAACAGUUUCCCACUUGCCUCUGAAGCAACUUCUGUUUUUCUUAGCAAAGACUGGGACAGAGGUGGGGAGAAGGGAUUUAAACACUGAUAUUUAGACUCAAAUCUGAUUCUAUGUGAGCUCUGACAGGAGACCUGCAGAAUUCAUAUCAGUGCCUUGAGUGACAUCAAAUGCCAACCCAUGAGGACAACAGGAUAACAGUGUAAAUACUAAUCACCAUCAAAAUUAAGCCUUCACCCAUCUUACAAGCAAAAGCAAAGUGACAGACCUGCAAUGAUGGAAGAAACCAAUGCUGUCACUACAGUACGGAAGAUGCCUCCCCCAGACAGGAUCUGCAGAGCCCGAGUGCUUUCUCUUCACCCUGAAGCCAUGCCCUUUCUUGCCUGAACCAUGCCACCUUUCUCCAAGAUGGAUUUAAAAGAUGUGCUUUCUUUUGUAACUUAGUGGACAUUUCCCUCUCAGUUGUCGCUGCACCACAAUGUCUGUGUCAUUAAGAAUAUUUUAAAAAUAUUUUAGAGUCUUCCAAAAAAUCUUCAAAAGUAGCUAAAGCAGUCUUGUUGACUUGUUGAACCUCAUUAGGUUCACAUGGGUCCACUUCUCAAGUUUGUCCAGGUCACGUUGGUUGGCAUCCCUUCCUUCUAUUGCACUGCUCAGCUUGGUAUAAUCAGCCACCUCGCUGAGGGUGCACUCAAUUCCACCAUCUGUCUCAUUAAUAAGGAUACGAAGCAGUACAGAUCCCAGUAUGGAACCAGUCAUUCAUCACUGGACACAGAGCAAUUUACAGCAACUCUUUGUCUGUGGCCACCCAGCCAAGAUCAUUCAGUACAUCCGCUUAUGGGAAUGAGAGAAUUUUAAUAAAGUGGGUGUAUUUAACUUUAGUUUGAUAAAAUAAUUACAGGAAAACCUGUCUCUGGUCAGUAUUAUCCAUUUGAUUGUAUUGCAAAUGACUGUCUGGCUGAGUUCCUUCUCUCUUCUCAUUACAAUUUCAGCGCUGUGGGAUACUUAAAGAAUAAAGAAACAGUUCUUGUUUGAAUUAGUUACUUAUAUUGUUGCCUAGCCAAGGAAUAGCCAGCCUCUCAGGAAUGUGGUUGGCAUCUGGUUCAUGGCACAGCUGAAAAUGCAACUACAGCAGAUUGAAUACUUAGACAUCUUAUGAAUAAACUGCUCUUGUGUGUAUUUAUUACGUACUACCUCUUUUGUUAGAACAGUGCCUCCUGAGCUGAAGCUUUAUUUACAGUUCCAAUUCCUUUCUCAUUAUUUAUCCAUAG
ensembl:lncRNA